rnacentral:tRNA from 10 species
CCAGAAUGGUCGAUCCACUGACAGUUUGCACCAUGAACCUGGAAAAGCCACAGCCACUCAAUGCCAGCCCGCGAAAGCAGCUGGGAGGGGAGCUGUGCCCUGCAAAGUCACAAGGAUGGAGCUACCCAAGACCAUGGGAACCCACCUCUUGCAUCAAUGUGACCUGGAUGUGAGACAUGGAGUCAAAAGAGAUCAUUUUGGAGCUUUAAGAUUUGACUGCCCUGCUGGAUUUUAGACUUGCAUGGGGCCUGGAGCCCCUUUGUUUUGGCCAAUUUCUCUUAUUUGGAAUGGGAAUAUUUAUUCAAUGCCUGUACCCCCAUUGUAUAUAGAAAAUAACUAACUUGCUUUUGAUUUUACAGACUCAUAGGCGAAAGGGACUUGCCUUGUCUCAGAUGAGACUUUGGACUUGGACUUUUGGGUUAAUGUUGAAAUGAGUUAAGACAUUGGAGGACUGUUGGGAAGGCAUGAUUGUAUUUUGAAAUGUGAGGACAUGACAUUUGGGAGGGGCCCAGGGAAGAAUGAUAUGGUUUGGCUAUGCCCUUCCCCCAAAAUCUCAUCUUGAAUUGCAGCUCCCAUAAUCCCCAUGUGUCAUGGGAGGGAUUCAGUGGGAAGUAAUUGAAUCAUGCGGGCGGGUUUUUCCCAUGCUGUUCUCAUGAUAGUGAAUAAGUCUCAUGAGAUCUGAUGGUUUUAUAAAGGGCAAUUCCCCUGCACAUGCUCUCUGUCUUGCCACCAUGUAAGAUGUGCCUUUGAUCCUCCUUCACCUUCCUCCAUGAUUGUGAGGUCUCCCCAGCCAUAUGUAACAGUGAGUCCAUUAAACCUCUUUUUCUUUAUACAUUACCCAGUCUCAGAUAUAUCUUUAUUAGCAGCCUAAGAAUGGACUAAUACACCAAGAGAGAGUAUAAUGCCCCAGGGCCAGGGCCACUGUGACCUGUGGUAACAAUGGAUGGGCACAGUUACUGGGACCUGGAGCACAGAACAUGUGUCAAGAUGCCAGUUGUCAGGAGCUGUGUGGCAGUUAUCUAUUCCACAAUAAAACUGGGGAUAUCAAUAUCCACAAGAUAUCAAUAAAAUUGAUUAUCUCACAGUUUCUGUGGUUCAGGAAUCUGAGAAGGGCUUACCUGGAGGCCUCUGGCUCAGUCUCUCAAAAGCUGCCAUCAAGUCACAGGCCAGGGUCAUCUCAAGGCUCACCUGGGGAAGGAUCCUCUUCUAAGCUCACACAUGUGGUUGCUGGUAUUUGGAAAUGGAGUCCUUGGAGGUUAUAGGUUUAGGCGAGGUCAUGAGGGUGGGACCCUCAUGAAUGGGGUUAGUGUCCUUAUAAAAAGGAAUACCAGCAAAUUCUCUCUCUUUUUCCCAUGUGAGGACACAGCAAGAAAGCAGACAUCUGCAAAUCAGGGAGACAGCCCUCAGCAGACACAAGACCUGUUGACGCCUUAAUCUUGGACUUCCCAGCCUUCAGAACUGUGGAAAAUAAAUGUUUGUGGUUUAAGCCACCCAGUCUAUGAUGUUUUGUUAUAGCAGCCUGAAUUGACUAAGACAGAUACCUUGAAAACCACCAUCCCCUGCUGAGCAAUAUUGUUCUGCUCCUUAGGCUGAUUUCAG